GUUUUUUUUUCACACGCAAUUUUGCUGUAUUUAAAUCAAAUGAGGGCCCUUUGGUUUGCAUGACAACAGAUUGUAUAUCCAAGCAAAACAUCGCUAAUUCCGCAUGUGGUAUGAAAUCCUUCCAUUCUGCAAAAAAAUUAGAAGAUCGUGACUCCAUCUUUCCUGUACAUUUUCUAUGAAUAUCGCACACCACACAUCACCACAGCAGAAACGAUCACUACUUUUAAUGUGCAUUAACUAUGAUGUGCAAUACUGUAAUGAAAAAAAUGCACUAAUUUUCGAUUGUCACCC